UGCAGUCGAGCGGACAGAAGGGAGCUUGCUCCCGGAUGUUAGCGGCGGACGGGUGAGUAACACGUGGGUAACCUGCCUGUAAGACUGGGAUAACUCCGGGAAACCGGAGCUAAUACCGGAUAGUUCCUUGAACCGCAUGGUUCAAGGAUGAAAGACGGUUUCGGCUGUCACUUACAGAUGGACCCGCGGCGCAUUAGCUAGUUGGUGAGGUAACGGCUCACCAAGGCGACGAUGCGUAGCCGACCUGAGAGGGUGAUCGGCCACACUGGGACUGAGACACGGCCCAGACUCCUACGGGAGGCAGCAGUAGGGAAUCUUCCGCAAUGGACGAAAGUCUGACGGAGCAACGCCGCGUGAGUGAUGAAGGUUUUCGGAUCGUAAAGCUCUGUUGUUAGGGAAGAACAAGUGCAAGAGUAACUGCUUGCACCUUGACGGUACCUAACCAGAAAGCCACGGCUAACUACGUGCCAGCAGCCGCGGUAAUACGUAGGUGGCAAGCGUUGUCCGGAAUUAUUGGGCGUAAAGGGCUCGCAGGCGGUUUCUUAAGUCUGAUGUGAAAGCCCCCGGCUCAACCGGGGAGGGUCAUUGGAAACUGGGAAACUUGAGUGCAGAAGAGGAGAGUGGAAUUCCACGUGUAGCGGUGAAAUGCGUAGAGAUGUGGAGGAACACCAGUGGCGAAGGCGACUCUCUGGUCUGUAACUGACGCUGAGGAGCGAAAGCGUGGGGAG
rnacentral:rRNA from 1 species